UACGGAGGGUGCGAGCGUUGUCCGGAAUCACUGGGCGUAAAGGGCGCGUAGGCGGCCUGAUAAGUAGGGGGUGAAAUCCUGCGGCUUAACCGCAGGGCUGCCUUCUAAACUGUCAGGCUCGAGCACAGUAGAGGCAGGUGGAAUUCCCGGUGUAGCGGUGGAAUGCGUAGAGAUCGGGAAGAACAUCAGUGGCGAAAGCGGCUUCCUGGUCCAGCACCGACGUUCAGGCACGAAAGCGUGGGGAGCAAACAGG
rnacentral:rRNA from 1 species